GACGAACGCUGGCGGCGUGCUUAACACAUGCAAGUCGAACGGAAAGGCCCCUUCGGGGGUACUCGAGUGGCGAACGGGUGAGUAACACGUGAGUAACCUGCCCUUGACUUCGGGAUAACUUCAGGAAACUGGGGCUAAUACCGGAUAGGAAUCCUUGCUGCAUGGUGGGGGUUGGAAAGCUUCGGCGGUUUGGGAUGGACUCGCUGCUUAUCAGCUUGUUGGUUGGGUAGUGGCUUACCAAGGCUUUGACGGGUAGCCGGCCUGAGGGGGCGACCGGCCAAAAUGGGACUGAGAUAAGGCCCAGGCUCCGAAGGGAGGGAGGAGGGGGGAAUAUUGGACAAUGGGCGGGAGCCUGAUGCAGCCAAGCCGCGGGCGGGAUGACGGGCUUCGGGUUGUAAACCGGUUUCAGCAGGGGCGAAGCUUGUGGUGACGGUACCUGCAGAAGAAGCACCGGCUAACUACGUG
rnacentral:rRNA from 1 species